GCCGGUGUAGCUCAGUUGGUAGAGCAGCGCAUUCGUAAUGCGAAGGUCGGGGGUUCGACUCCUCUCUCCGGCACCA
rnacentral:tRNA from 4 species